rnacentral:rRNA from 1 species
GACGAACGCUGGCGGCGUGCUUAACACAUGCAAGUCGAACGGAGAGGCCCUGCUUUUGUGGGGUGCUCGAGUGGCGAACGGGUGAGUAACACGUGAGUAACCUGCCCUUGACUUUGGGAUAACUUCAGGAAACUGGGGCUAAUACCGGAUAGGAGCUCCUGCUGCAUGGUGGGGGUUGGAAAGUUUCGGCGGUUGGGGAUGGACUCGCGGCUUAUCAGCUUGUUGGUGGGGUAGUGGCUUACCAAGGCUUUGACGGGUAGCCGGCCUGAGAGGGUGACCGGCCACAUUGGGACUGAGAUACGGCCCAGACUCCCACGGGAGGCAGCAGUGGGGAAUAUUGCACAAUGGGCGGAAGCCUGAUGCAGCAACGCCGCGUGCGGGAUGACGGCCUUCGGGUUGUAAACCGCUUUCGCCUGUGACGAAGCGUGAGUGACGGUAAUGGGUAAAGAAGCACCGGCUAACUACGUG